GAUUCCUGGCAGAGUGAUUU
rnacentral:miRNA from 1 species